CUACACACCAAGGCUCCUGGGUCUCUUCCAGAGCAAAGGAGGGGCCUUAGGGGAAAGACUCAAGGCUAAUAUGAGCCGUCUUUUUGAGGAUCCCAACAACAUUGACCUCAGGAGAGAAGUGGUCAUCUUAUCCCUGAUUGACUACCUGGGAGAAGAAAAAAAGGCACUGAUAAAAGAAUACCACUCAGAAGACCUGGCCCAAGAAGACCAGCAAGUGAUGAAAAUCUGUGUUGUCGCAGAUGAGGUUGGCAUUGUCCUGGAAA